UACGGAGGGUGCGAGCGUUGUCCGGAAUCAUUGGGCGUAAAGGGCGCGUAGGUGGCGGGGCAAGCGUGCGGUGAAAGCCUGGGGCUCAACCCCGGGUCGGCCGUGCGAACUGUUUUGCUUGAGCACUGUAGAGGCAGGCGGAAUUCCGGGUGUAGCGGUGGAAUGCGUAGAGAUCCGGAAGAACACCGGUGGCGAAGGCGGCCUGCUGGGCAGUAGCUGACACUGAGGCGCGACAGCGUGGGGAGCAAACAGG
rnacentral:rRNA from 1 species